UACGUAGGGUGCAAGCGUUAAUCGGAAUUACUGGGCGUAAAGCGUGCGCAGGCGGUUCGGAAAGAAGGAUGUGAAAUCCCAGGGCUUAACCUUGGAACUGCAUUCUUAACUGCCGGGCUAGAGUAUGUCAGAGGGGGGUAGAAUUCCACGUGUAGCAGUGAAAUGCGUAGAGAUGUGGAGGAAUACCGAUGGCGAAGGCAGCCCCCUGGGAUAAUACUGACGCUCAUGCACGAAAGCGUGGGGAGCAAACAGG
rnacentral:rRNA from 1 species